UGGGGAAUAUUGGACAAUGGGCGAAAGCCUGAUCCAGCCAUGCCGCGUGAGUGACGAAGGCCUUAGGGUUGUAAAGCUCUUUUGGCGGGGAAGAUAAUGACGGUACCCGCAGAAUAAGCUCCGGCUAACUUCGUGCCAGCAGCCGCGGUAAUACGUAGGGACCAAGCGUUGUUCGGAUUUACUGGGCGUAAAGGGCGCGUAGGCGGCAAUUCAAGUCAUCUGUGAAAUCUCCGGGCUUAACUCGGAACGGUCAGAUGAUACUGCUUUGCUAGAGUGCAGAAGGGGCAAUCGGAAUUCUUGGUGUAGCGGUGAAAUGCGUAGAUAUCAAGAGGAACACCUGAGGUGAAGACGGGUUGCUGGGCUGACACUGACGCUGAGGCGCGAAAGCCAGGGGAGCAAACGGGAUUAGAUACCCGCGUAGUCCCUGAGCGGGCUGGCAAGGCGCAU
rnacentral:rRNA from 1 species